GAGGUCCAAACGAUGCGGUUCCAGUUGCGUUGGAAAGCUAACAUCCGGAACUUCGAUUUGAUAUAUAAUAUGCUAUAGCUGCCCCGACGUUAAGCAAUGCAAACGCGUGAAUGACGCGUCCGCGUCGCAUCUGCGAACUUCAAGCGUAAGGGAAAUUGGAAGAGAGGGACCUAUUUCUUGUAGCCUCUAGCAUCUUGUUUUGCAAGGCGAUGGUUGAGGCCUCCCCGUUCUCUUCGCUGGAGCACGCAACAUCAUUCGCAAGAGACCUGUGGUUCAACACGUUGCCAAUUCAGUCAUGGCUGGAUACAUUCUCAGCACACAGGCACAUAGGGAUUGCUUCAAUUCGCAACAAAGUACCGCAAGAAAUUCGGCUUUGGGUUCAUCACUAGCACGAACCUAUUUCUUAAAGCAACAAAUAUUGGAGGAGGUGCAAGUAAAGUUUGGAUUUAUUGUGAUUUGUUUAGCCAUCUACUUGGGUACAAUUUUUUAAUUCAAUGGUGAUAUGGCCGAUUGCUUUUCUUUAUUUUUUGAAAUGAGGUACUGAAUGGGAAAGUCAAUAAAUAUAUGCAUGUUCCUCGAUUAGUCUGUUCUUUUUUUUUUCUUUUUACUUAGUAAGGAGAUUGUUUGGAAGAAGAGAGUUGAAAACCAAGAACUGGAUGUGGAUGUAAUUUAGGACUGGGAAUCAAGUUUUACAAUAGCUGACCUAGCACUUCGCAUCAAGCUUUAGAAAAGAUACAGAUUUCAUUUUAUAAUUUACUUGCUGAUGUAGAAGUUAUAGUAGUAAAUUUACUUCGAUAGAUAAUUAUUGAAGUGCAAACAUGGUAAUUUGCUCUUUUUUUUUUAUCCUAUUUUAGAAAUGAUCUGGUGUCUCUAAGAUACUCCCUGUAACCU